GAUGGCCUCCUUGUUCCUGUCCCCAUCCCUUGCUUGCUGGGUACUCUGUGGUCUCAGUUAUUGCUGCCCCAGUGCCAUGAACUGGGCACCCCAAUAUGAGAGCUUGAACUGACCGUUGUUCCACCAGCACUUUGAGUGACAGGGAUGAGGUGCUAAAAACCAACAUAUGUCAGAAAUUAAAUGACUGCUGAGCCUUCUAGCAAAGCAGAGCCAGGUGAUGGUGUAAUUGGCACAGGUUUUAUUGGCUAAGCUGAUUUACACUGGGCAGGAGUUGAUUCUCCCUGUGGUGAGCAUGUGUCCCCCACCUGUGCUGGGUACUGUCCCUCUUCUCUCCUUCUAGGAGCAGCCAUGUCCUUGGGGGGGGCGGGUUGAGACCCCUGCCUGGGGCUCCUCCCUUUCUGCACAGAGGGAAGGAUAGACUAACCAGCCAGGCUUUGCUCGAUGGCAAGGGGAAAUGGCACAGAAAGCACAGGGUUGUUACAGAGGAUUUAAAUGGAAGAAUGCUGAGGAAGCCAGUGAAGAGUUUUAAGUGAUGGAACGAUGAAAACACAUAUUCCCAUGCAAUUGCUUGCUGCUGCCUUAUAAAAAGCCAAAGCAUAAAUCAACUUCAAUAUGGAGUAAACUAAUAGCAUCAUUGUGAAAGAUUAACCUGAAGAGUUUUGCCCUACUACUGAAAAUGAAAGCAGACCUCAGCUGAUGAGAGUAAGCCUCUAUAACGAGAGGUUUAAGAUGAGAUGUGAAGGUGUCUGACUUGGCUUUCCCAGCCUGCUGAGAAUGAAUUUUGGAAUUGGGCUGGACAAGAGUUAAGAGCACAUCUUCCAUGUACCUUUGGCUUGUAUUUUGGAGAGGCCGAUAUGCUGUCCUGGGGUCAUCUGAAACAUCAGCUGCCCUAACAGAGAAGAGCUGACUGGUGAUAAAUGCACUGAUCCUAUUUAUGCGUCGCUUUCCAACUCAUCAAAGCAAUUUUAAAAUCAAUAUGUUACGUUUAACAGGGAGGCCAUGCAUUUCUCUCUGGGCAGGAAUAACACGCCGAAUCUACAAAGGGAGAAUUAACCUUCCAGGUGCAGCGUUUGGUAAAAACCACAGAAUAUAAAGAAUAUUCCAGGAAAGCCAUAAAGGGAGAUGUCGCAAAGAUGGCUUCUGGGAUGUUAAAAAUACAGCCAUGCUUGUGAGCUGGAGUGCAGUGGCUGAACCUGGGCAAUGCUGUGCGCAGGGCAGGAGACACCCGCGGCUGUCAGGAGUGCCGUGCCGAGUCCCGAGCAGCUCCUGCCAUUAUAACGUGUAACGAGGCCAGGGGACAGCUUUGUGCAGCAUCCGUAACAUAGUGCAGCUGAUGUAUGUAAAGAUGUCUGAGAGAGAGAAGGCAGGUCUGCCAGCAGUGCUGUUGAUACCAGUGAUCUGUCUGGGCUGGGGGCUGCAGGCUGGAGUGCAGGGCUGCAGGAUCAAGCCGCUGUGUUUUGAAUGGGUUUGAGCCGUUCCUAAAUAAAGCUUCAUUAGUUAGGGUGGCACCGCUCUGUCUGCUUCCUACUGAGCAGCAGGAAGACAAAGAGAGCAUCUACAAUCGUAAUAGUUUAACACAAAUUGAUUUAAAGCCUGGAAUAAUAGGAGGCUUAGAGAGCCUGGAUGAGAGAUGGUGUUGGGCAGAAAGAGGUGGGAAUGAAGAGGAACAAAGCCCAACCAGCUGCAGACGAAGGAGUGAGUCCUCUUUCCAUCUGUUGGUUGAAGCACCACAUCUGCAAACAGGUGUGGAUGUUCACAAUGCAUCUAGGAAACCGUUCUCCUUGACUUUGUGACUUGUUCGUAGUGCCUUGCCCUCAGCCCCAGGCAGACUGGCUGCCUGGCCCUGGGCAAAUGGGCACCCAGGGUCAUUACACAGAUUCUGCUGUACUGUGUGCUCUGGUGAAAGGCUUGCAUAUGGCUUCCAGCUUUCAGAGAUUUCUGGUCUGUCCAAAAUACUUAGGACUGCAGCAUCUUAGACCUGUGCAUGUCUUUUUGUCCUUUUUUUUUUUUUUAUUUUAUUGCUGAAUAUGGAGAAGUUUGGCUUUUAUGAUGUGUCUAUGUAUACGAUUUUAGUAGCUUGGAUUGCUUUUAUAUAUUUAUUGUGAAAACAGCUUGCUUAAAAAUUGAUUAUUGAUCAUAGGAAGACACUACAUUUUUUUUUAAUCUUCAGAGACAGAAUUACAAAUUAAGUGAUAUAAAGUAUUUUAGUUACAGGCAUUUUAUUAAAAACACUUCAUCUAGCAUUUACAGAAA